rnacentral:rRNA from 1 species
CUAGUAUGCACCUACGGGAGGCUGCAGUAGGGAAUUUUCGUCAAUGGGGGCAACCCUGAACGAGCAAUGCCGCGUGAGCGAAGAAGGUCUUCGGAUUGUAAAGCUCUGUUGCCGGGGAAAAAGGAAGGAAAGAGGAAAUGCUUUUCUUUGGAUGGUACCCGGCCAGAAAGUCACGGCUAACUACGUGCCAGCAGCCGCGGUAAUACGUAGGUGGCAAGCGUUAUCCGGAAUGAUUGGGCGUAAAGGGUGCGUAGGCGGCCUGUUAAGUCUGAAGUGAAAGGUACCGGCUCAACCGGUACAGGCUUUGGAAACUGGCAGGCUGGAGGACAGGAGAGGGCGGCGGAACUCCAUGUGUAGCGGUAAAAUGCGUAGAGAUAUGGAAGAACACCAGUGGCGAAGGCGGCCGCCUGGACUGAAACUGACGCUCAGGCACGAAAGCGUGGGGAGCAAAUAGGAUUAGAUACCCUAGUAGUCCACGCCGUAAACGAUGAGGAGCAGGUGUCGCAAUGAAAUGCGGUGCCGAAGCCAACGCAAUGACUCCUCCGCCUGGGGAGUAUGCACGCAAGUGUGAAACUCAAAGGAAUUGGCGGGG